UAGGGAAUCUUCCACAAUGGACGAAAGUCUGAUGGAGCAACGCCGCGUGAGUGAAGAAGGUUUUCGGAUCGUAAAGCUCUGUUGUUGGUGAAGAAGGAUAGAGGUAGUAACUGGCCUUUAUUUGACGGUAAUCAACCAGAAAGUCACGGCUAACUACGUGCC
rnacentral:rRNA from 1 species